GUACCCCAGUCUGUUAUGGUAUAAGGACUGAAUUGUAUCGGCAUCACCCUUCAGUAACCUAACUUGAGGUAUCACUACAUACUCCAGCUCCUUGGCCUGUACGACUACAGUCUUCCAUAAUGUCAGAGUCAACUGAAGGAGGUGCGUCUGCAGCAGGAGGGGCUGCCCCUGGGGGUGAUGCACCCACAGGAGAAAAUGGUGAAAUCGUUGGUGGUCCCCGUGGGCCACAGCAGGUGGCUGCACAGAAACGAAUGCAGCAAACGCAAGCGCAAGUUGAUGAGGUUGUGGACAUCAUGCGGACAAACGUGGAAAAGGUCCUGGAAAGAGAUCAGAAACUUUCAGAACUGGAUGACCGUGCAGAUGCCCUCCAACAAGGAGCUUCACAGUUUGAACAACAGGCUGGCAAGCUAAAGAGGAAAAUGUGGUGGAAGAACCUAAAGAUGAUGAUCAUCAUGGGUGUCAUCGGUGUCAUUGUCCUCAUCAUCAUUGUUGGGCCCUACAUUCCUAAGGGAAGUGAAAACAAGACGGACAAUUGUAACUACCAACACUAACGCUCAACUCAGCCCACCUCCCAACAUGAUGAAUAACGCCCAUACCACUUUGCAGUCAAGCUUGGCUUAGGUCGAGGUGUAGUGAAUCACCUCUCUUCUCUCACCUACUGUGAGCCUGGGCAGUGAACUAAAUUGCUUUUCAGGACAGGUGUUGGUGAAUUUGUGGGUGAGAGCUUCAUUAUGAAAAAAAAAAAAUCCAACCUAAGUCUUGCUAAGAUACCACUAGUUAGAAUUAUAGCCAUGAGCAGUAGAUUUUCUUUAUAACUUCAAUAAUUGCAAUUUAUUUUUUUGCUCAUUAUAUUAUUAUUAUUAUUAUUAUUAUUAUUAUUAUUAUUAUUAUUAUUAUUAUUAGUAUUAUUUGUUGAUAUUGAUAAUAUUUUUAAGGCAUUUUUUUAUUUAUUUUUUUUUUUUUUUAUUUUUUAUAAUAAGUACAGACUUAAGUGCAGGUAGGGGGUGAAAGAUUAAAUUUGAUUGCAAGGUGUUUUCUGCUUGGAAGUAAUGUUAAGCAUACCUUAUUACUUAAGAAAUAAUGUUAUUGUAUUUGUUAGUGAAUUCUAAGCCCAGGGAAUUCAGGGGUUGGUAUGGUCCAAGAUCUUCCCCUAGUGAACUGGGCUUAAAUGAAAUGUUGAUGUAUGUGUAUGAAUAGGAUGUAUGAGUGUUAUAAUAAAGCCUUUAGGUUCUUGUUUAGGGUGUGUCCAGUGCCCUCAAACAAUCAACCUUGGGAUAUUGUGGCAAUAUUGCCCUCUAUCUGUACUAAGAAUGUUAAUUCAGUUUCAGUUUGAUCACUAUUUCUCUUUCAGUUCAUAUUUAUAUGUUGCUGAAGGAGGGUUGUUCCAGUUAUAUUAUUUGCAUGUGCCUUAUUUAUUCUGACACAAGUUGUGAGAAAUGUAGGUAAGGAUCAUGUUUCCAGGUUAAGUCAAGUCUCAUUAGCUUUCUGCUUAUCCUGUACAUCUUUGUAAGUCUAAAUCUGUACAGUAUAAUAUCUUAAUGUUAUUACAAAUGUUAAAGUAGUUAUUCAGACUAGAUACUUUUGACCUUCAUAGCAAGUAUUCCUUCAGAGUUCCUUGAUAUAUAUAUGUUGUUUGAUAAACUUGAUCUACUAGCACUAGAAGACAAUCUGAGAACACCAGAUCUGCUUUGUAGUAGUUGAUAUUAAGAUAUGAAGAUACUUGUUACAGUCAGCUUUCACUCAUUGAUCUCAUUGUCCAUAACAAGAAGUACUCACAGCUUGUGUCAGAUUAAUCCUUACUUUAUUUCUGUAAAAAUGUACCUUACCACAUGGCUGUUAUUUGUUUUUAUUUAUUUUA